UGCCUAUGAUGGGGCAAUCAAUACUGUCACUUUUUUUGUUAUGAUGGGGCAAUUGACAGUGUCAUAUUUUUCUCUUACAAUGGGGCAAUAAAUAGUGUCACAUUUCAGCCAUGAUAGACAAAUCGUAUUAAUAUGGAUAUUCCAAAAUAUUCGCCCACCUGUUCAUUCAAGAAUACGUAUUAAAUAAAUUAAGUUAUUUUUGACUUUGGACUAACCAUGAUCAUAUCUUUUGCUUGUGAUGUGGCAAUCAAUAAUAAUGUAUCUAGUCCAAAUCACUAUACCUACAAUUUAAUUUUGCAAGUCUCAAUCUUAUUAAUUGAAUACAUCCAUCAUGCUUAUAUGAUAAAAUCCAAAAAUAUUGUAUUUUCUAUGUACAUUCAAGUUAAUUUAUUUACUACAACAUGCAUGUACAUAUUAGAAUUAUGCAUUUAUAUAAGCAAGCAUGAAAAGAGGGAUUCCUACCUCUAGCAGGCAAUAGAACUCAAAUUAAGAUAUGCCCAUCA
rnacentral:lncRNA from 1 species